GAUUAACGCUGGCGGCGUGCAUAACACAUGCAAGUCGAACGAUGAAACUUAAAUGAUUUCUUUGGAAUGAACUUAAGUGGAUUAGUGGCGGACGGGUGAGUAACGCGUGAGUAACCUGCCUUACACAAGGGGAUAGCCGUUGGAAACGACGAAUAAUACCCUAUGAAACUAUCACUUCGCAUGAAGCGAUAGUCAAAGUGUUAGCGGUGUAAGAUGGACUUGCGUCUGAUUAGCUAGUUGGUGAGAAAAAAGCCCACCAAGGCAACGAUCAGUAGCCGGCUUGAGAGAGUGUACGGCCACAUUGGGACUGAGACACGGCCCAGACUCCUACGGGAGGCAGCAGUGGGGAAUUUUGCACAAUGGGGGAAACCCUGAUGCAGCGACGCCGCGUGAUUUAGAAGGCCUUCGGGUUGUAAAAAUCUUUUGUAUAGGAAGAAAAUGACAGUACUAUACGAAUAAGGUCCGGCUAAUUACGUG
rnacentral:rRNA from 1 species